GCGAGUGUGCUGGAAUAGGCAGACAGGCUAGCUUGAGGUGCUAGUGGCAAUAUUGCCGUGUGGGUUCAAGUCCCGUCACUCGCACCA
rnacentral:tRNA from 1 species